AAAAAGUUUUUGAAAUCUUGCUGUAACACAAAAAGGUCUUAUAAUAAUAAUAAAAAACAACCCAGAGCCAGAUAUUGAAGUGAAAGCUGAAAGAUCAGAGAAGCAGAACAGCCAGCCACUAGCUUACCUCUAUGAAAUCCUCAGCCUCAAGAGACCUCCAGCUUACCUCUUCCUUUGUCGAGGACCUUGCCAGGGGCGGUCCAGGUAAGGUGAAGAUGAUCUCCGUUAAAUUCGGCUUCCAGAUCUGUGAUUCUACUGGGUGGGAACACAGGAGGAGCGUGGUCACCACCAGGAGGCGCUCCAGACACAAUAAAGGACCCUCCAGAGGUUAGCCUGCUGAAGUCUUCCACAGGAGCUUCUGCUUCUUGCAUUUCAGGUCUAGGAUGGAUUAAUGAAACACAGUGAAAAGACUUACUUCUGCGGUGCCUGGUAUUUGAAGUCGAGCAGACUGCAUAUUUAAUUCAUCAUCUUUGAAAUCUGAGGUUGUGUAUUUUUUUCCUUUUGGAUCUUGAAGAAUAAUUUCUGGCUUUCGUAAUGUCCAGGUGACAACAAAGAAAGUGUCAUUUCCAAUGGUACUAUCCACAGGCACUGUACCAGUUACCUGUUUCCUCCCUGCAAUAUUCAAGGUUUUGCUCUCCAACUGGGACAGAAAUAAAAA